rnacentral:tRNA from 1 species
AUCAUCUUGGCAGAGGUAUGCCUUAGAUUUAGGAUCUAAUUACACGAUUUAUAUCGUAGAUGAUA